AGCGCAGGCGGUGCGGCAAGUCUGAUGUGAAAGCCUUCGGCUCAACCGAAGAAGUGCAUCGGAAACUGGGAAACUUGAGUGCAGAAGAGGACAGUGGAACUCCAUGUGUAGCGGUGAAAUGCGUAGAUAUAUGGAAGAACACCAGUGGCGAAGGCGGCUGUCUGGUCUGUAACUGACGCUGAGGCUCGAAAGCAUGGGUAGCAAACA
rnacentral:rRNA from 1 species